ensembl:lncRNA
GAAAUACACUUUGAACUUCACGAGACGGGCUGAUAAGUGUGCAGCUUGCUUUACCCGAAUGUGAUUUGAUCAUAAUUUUGAGAGAAGUUCUUCUGAAAGCUGCACACAAGCUACACUUCUGGAUGGAGAGAGGCAUUUGAAGCAGAAAUGGACAGUUUGAAGAAGAGUCUGCAGAAGCCUUCUAUUUUCACAUUUGUGCCAGUGGUGCACAAAUUACCGAUUGAAAGCAUUGUUACUGAGGAGAGAUCUGGAGCCCGGACAGGAAAACAAAAGAAGAACUUAACUGAAUCCCAUGAGAAGACAGCCGGGGAGACCAUGUCGGAGAAGCAGAUUUUCAAAGCAGAGAUAGUCUUUAUCAAAGACUCUGCGGAGGGAGGAGCCGGAAACACAAUCCAACCAGGGACACAACUUCAACCGUCACUGGAUCACUUCAGCCUCUCUCAAACCAAAGCCUUUCCUUCAGUCAGUGUUCAAUCUGAAAAUACCACCAACCCCGUCGCUGCCUCUAUGGAAACAGCUGUUGAUAAACACGGGGGCAUUUCCCAGCCGCAGUGUCACGGUACCUCUGGACUUGCUGAGGUUAGCUCGGGUUUCUUUGCAAAUAUAGCGUCUGUGUCAGAAGACAGAAUGAGCCCCACAAACUCCGCAGACCUCUUCCCCACCCCGGGAUCAUCCAGAGAGUCCAUCCUCUCAGAGGGCUCGGACAGAGAGAAGAGCUGGUCGGCUAUGGAGCUUUCCUCUCUCACCUCUCCUGUUUCUUUCAGCCGCACUGUUUCUCCCUGCUCGUCUGUCCGCUCUGGCAUCUUUUCCCCUUCUGUCGUCCCGAUCAAGAGGCACUUUCUAGCUCCUGGCUCCAGUCUGAUUCACACCCCCUGUUUCUCAUCCUGUGAGAGCCUCUCCUCUUCUGUUUGUCCCCAGUCCCCUCCUCCUCCUCCCCGGCACCGGCCUCCUCUCACCCGACUCUCCCUCCUCACUGCCAUCCUGAGAAAAGGCCGUCUUCCUAUCCUCUCCUCUGCUCUGCAGAGGCCUUACACCCCCUGCUGGCCUAUUAACCCUGUGACCCUGUCUUUCUGUAACGCAUGCUCAGCGGCCUCCAGUGUGGCCUCCAUCCCCCUUGAGUUCUCAUCUCGUUUCUCUUCAUCAGCGUCUAUAGAUAGUCAGAGUCACUUUAACAGGGAGCCUAAUAGAUGCAUCACAGCUCCUCCACCUGUGCAGUCAAAUGAGCUGAGCAGAACAUGCCCUCAAGCUCAGGCGAAAAGAUGCUCGGCGCAAAUUCGUGCAAGCAGUGCGCCUAGAUGGCAGCAGGUUAUUUCACCGCCACCAAUGAAGAGCACACUGCCCCGAGCUCCACCAUUAUUUUGCUCGACUUUCAAAUCUGUUUCGCCACCAAAGUAUGAAGAAAUAAACAAAAAGCUGCAACACACACACAUGUCCAUUUCCAAGUCGCCUGAGCUGAAACCCAUCAACACUCACAUAUACCUGAAGUGCCCUGCAGAUUACAAUCUUAAAAAACUCAUCUCCCCGUCUUCUAAAGUUAUUAAUGAGCUUGAGACCUCUGUGCCCCAGAAGUGGAGUCCCCCUACCAAAUUCAUCUUUCUCAAGGCUUCACUCCCUUUCUCAACAACUGAGAUCUCCGCCCGUCUGCACUCCUGGGCUUCAGCCUUCUCAAUCACGCUCACCCGGUGUUCCAAUUUUCUGUGA